UGCGGAGUAGAGAAAAGGUAUCUCGCUUGUUUCAUAGGCAAGAGGUUAUUGGUUCGAGUCCAAUCUCACGCAACCA
rnacentral:tRNA from 3 species